rnacentral:rRNA from 1 species
AUGAACGCUGGCGGCGUGCCUAAUACAUGCAAGUCGAGCGAACAGACGAGGAGCUUGCUCCUCUGACGUUAGCGGCGGACGGGUGAGUAACACGUGGAUAACCUACCUAUAAGACUGGGAUAACUUCGGGAAACCGGAGCUAAUACCGGAUAAUAUAUUGAACCGCAUGGUUCAAUAGUGAAAGACGGUUUUGCUGUCACUUAUAGAUGGAUCCGCGCCGCAUUAGCUAGUUGGUAAGGUAACGGCUUACCAAGGCGACGAUGCGUAGCCGACCUGAGAGGGUGAUCGGCCACACUGGAACUGAGCCACGGUCAAGACUCCUACGGGAGGCAGCAGUAGGGAAUCUUCCGCAAUGGGCGAAAGCCUGACGGAGCAACGCCGCGUGAGUGAUGAAGGUCUUCGGAUCGUAAAACUCUGUUAUUAGGGAAGAACAAAUGUGUAAGUAACUAUGCACGUCUUGACGGUACCUAAUCAGAAAGCCACGGCUAACUACGUG